ensembl:lncRNA
UUCCAGGCUUGUAUAAAUGACAUGAGUCUUUUAGAAGUACAGUGUUGUGCCACAGUUUAACAUUUAUAAUAGUGCAAUACAUAGAUACAGUAGACACAUUUUCUCCCACAGUUGAGUCACAGACACAUACAUUUGAUAUUUGGAGUGCUUUCAGACUGUUGUUUCAAACAGUCAAAGAUAAACUGCCAUAUACCUCACAUUAUAAUCCAUUAAGGCAUCUGUAAGAUCAUGGUUUACACAUUUUAUACACUUGAAGUUAAAGGGCAUAGCAUUUUGUGAUAUCUUAUGUGAGCACAGUGCAUUUUUUGAAUAUUUCACAGUUAAUAAAAAGUGUCCCCUCCCAAGUCCCGUACAGUGAUCUGCAGGAAUUAGAUCCGUUGAGGCCCAAUUUUAGAUAUCCAACUUCCACAAUGUAAAAAAGUGAACAAAUAGAAAGCCCUGACAGGGAGUAGAAGGAAUGCUAGAUAUUUGGUCAAAUAUAAAAAGUCCAUUAGAACGACAAGCUAAAAGGCUACACUACCUGCUUCUGUUAGCCCAAAACUAAGGUACAGUAGUAACAACUUAACAGCCUAGUAUAAAAAAAAGUACAUUUGGAAUGUUUAUUCUUCUGCAGAGUAUAUUUUGGUUUAUCGCAAUAAUAAAAAGGCAGUUUGCAAGAAAACAUCUGUUUAUGAUAAUGUUAUGGUCCCAUGUGAUAGCCAUAGAUAACACUGGCAAAUAAAAAUAUGGGUUGGUAGCAAUGUUUUUUUUUACUAAAGAACUUAUUCAACCCUGCCUAUGACUCCAAACAUUUAUAUUGUAACUUGUAUUACUUGUAUUAUAAAAUGUACUCUAUAUGGCAGUUCGUAGUUAGUGGGAAAAGUUUGUGUCAAUUUGUGUCAGCUUAUCCAGUAGAAAAGGAACAACAAAAAUAAUGUUUCCAGCACUAACACGUAUGGUAUCCAUUCUGUGCAGCUCUAUGGGGCUGGGUCCUUUCUCUAAAUAAUGGCAUUUGCAGUGCAGAUAACCCCCAGAAUAAACAAUAUAGUGGUGUUUGGAUAGAGGUGUCGGGGAGCAGACUGGUCAAGUGGAGGUCCAACAUGCUAAUAGGUGACAAGUGUGUGUUUUGCCUGUGUGUGCUGGCUGCCACAGAGAGGAUUAGGGGAAGAGUGGGUGGCCGGCUGCCUGUGGGGGGUUCGACCUGGGACAGGAUGAUGCGUGUGUGCUCUGGACAGUUGCUGCUCCACGGGGGGAGGGGGAGCAGACGGGACGAGAUGGGGCGACAUCUUUAAAGCUUGUUUAUUUGAACGAUCGACUUGUUUGACGUUUCAGCAGUCGACCCGGCGCAGACUAGAGCGACCAUAUGAGUUCCUGCGAGAGAAAAAACAGACAACAGGGAUAUACAGUGAGUUAGUAUGCAGACAGAGAAGAACUAC